GACGAACGCUGGCGGGAUGCCUUACACAUGCAAGUCGAACGGAGUGGCGAACGGGUGAGUAAUGUAUCGGUACGUGCCCAGUAGCGGGGGAUAACUACGCGAAAGCGUAGCUAAUACCGCAUACUAUUGGAGCGGCCGAUAUCGGCUUAGCUAUUGGGUGGGGUAACGGCUCACCAAGGCGACGAUGCGUGGCUGGUUUGAGCGGAUGACCAGCCACAUGGGGACUGAGACACGGCCCAGACUCCUACGGGAGGCAGCAGUGGGGAAUUUUGGACAAUGGGGGAAACCCUGAUGCAGCCAUCCCGCGUGUGCGAUGAAGGCCUUCGGGUUGUAAAGCACUUUUGGCAGGAAAGCGGUACCUGCAGAAUAAGCACCGGCUAACUACGUGCCAGCAGCCGCGGUAAUUC
rnacentral:rRNA from 1 species